rnacentral:rRNA from 1 species
GAUGAACGCCGGCGGCGUGCCUAAUACAUGCAAGUAGAACGCUGAAGGAAGGAGCUUGCUCUUUCCGGAUGAGUUGCGAACGGGUGAGUAACGCGUAGGUAACCUGCCUGGUAGCGGGGGAUAACUAUUGGAAACGAUAGCUAAUACCGCAUAACAGUAGAUGUUGCAUGAUAUCUACUUAAAAGGUGCAAUUGCACCACUACCAGAUGGACCUGCGUUGUAUUAGCUAGUUGGUGAGGUAACGGCUCACCAAGGCGACGAUACAUAGCCGACCUGAGAGGGUGAUCGGCCACACUGGGACUGAGACACGGCCCAGACUCCUACGGGAGGCAGCAGUAGGGAAUCUUCGGCAAUGGACGGAAGUCUGGCCGAGCAACGCCGCGUGAGUGAAGAAGGUUUUCGGAUCGUAAAGCUCUGUUGUAAGAGAAGAACGAGUGUGAGAGUGGAAAGUUCACACUGUGACGGUAUCUUACCAGAAAGGGACGGCUAACUACGUG